rnacentral:rRNA from 1 species
UACGGGGGGUGCAAGCGUUAAUCGGAAUUACUGGGCGUAAAGCGCACGCAGGCGGUCUGUCAAGUCGGAUGUGAAAUCCCCGGGCUCAACCUGGGAACUGCAUUCGAAACUGACAGGCUAGAGUCUUGUAGAGGGGGGUAGAAUUCCAGGUGUAGCGGUGAAAUGCGUAGAGAUCUGGAGGAAUACCGGUGGCGAAGGCGGCCCCCUGGACAAAGACUGACGCUCAGGUGCGAAAGCGUGGGGAGCAAACAGG